UCCGAUAUGGUGUAGUGGCUAACAUUAUCGCCUCUCAUAAUUUCUAAGUACCACCGUAUGAGUAUUGCGCGAUAGCCCGGGGUUCGAUUCCCCGUGUCGGAA